rnacentral:rRNA from 1 species
GAUGAACGCUAGCUACAGGCUUAACACAUGCAAGUCGAGGGACCGGCGCACGGGUGAGUAACACGUAUCCAACCUGCCCUUUACUCGGGGAUAGCCUUUCGAAAGAAAGAUUAAUCCUCGAUAUAAAGGAUGGGGAUGCGUUCCAUUAGGUUGUUGUUGAGGUAACGGCUCACCAAGCCUUCGAUGGAUAGGGGUUCUGAGAGGAAGGACACCCACAGUGGAACUGAGACACGGUCCAAACGCCUACGGGAGGCAGCAGUGAGGAAGAUUGGUCAAUGGGCGGUAGCCUGAACCAGCCAAGUAGCGUGAAGGAUGAAGGCUUAUGGGUCGUAAACUUCUUUUAUAUAAGAAUAUGUAUUAUAUGAAUAAGGAUCGGCUAACUCCGUGCCAGCAGCCGCGGUAAUUC